GAUGAACGCUGGCGGCGUGCCUAACACAUGCAAGUCGAGCGAUCUCUUCGGAGAGAGCGGCGGACGGGUGAGUAACGCGUGGGUAACCUGCCCUGUACACACGGAUAACAUACCGAAAGGUAUGCUAAUACGGGAUAAUAUAUAAAAGUCGCAUGGCUUUUAUAUCAAAGCUUGUGCGGUACAGGAUGGACCCGCGUCUGAUUAGCUAGUUGGUAAGGUAACGGCUUACCAAGGCGACGAUCAGUAGCCGACCUGAGAGGGUGAUCGGCCACACUGGAACUGAGCCACGGUCCAGACUCCUACGGGAGGCAGCAGUGGGGAAUAUUGCACAAUGGGCGAAAGCCUGAUGCAGCAACGCCGCGUGAGCGAUGAAGGCCUUCGGGUCGUAAAGCUCUGUCCUCAAGGAAGAUAAUGACGGUACUUGAGGAGGAAGCCCCGGCUAACUACGUGCCAGCCGCCGCUGUAA
rnacentral:rRNA from 1 species